GGUGGGGUGGCCGAGUGGUUUAAGGCAGUAGUCUUGAAAACUACCGUGGGCGUGAGCUCACCGCGGGUUCGAAUCCCGCCCCCACCGCCA
rnacentral:tRNA from 1 species